rnacentral:rRNA from 1 species
AGAGUUUGAUCCUGGCUCAGGAUGAACGCUGGCGGCGUGCUUAACACAUGCAAGUCGAACGGUGGCAGCAAUGUCACAGUGGCGCACGGGUGAGGAACACGUAGCUAACCUGCCCCCAAGUACGGGAUAACGUCUCGAAAGGGAUGCUAAUACCGUAUAAGCUCACGCUGAGUAAACAGGUGUGAGAAAAGGUUUACUGCUUGGGGAGGGGGCUGCGGCCCAUCUGGUAGUUGGUGAGGUAACGGCUCACCAAGCCGACGACGGGUAGGGGGUCUGAGAGGAUGGCCCCCCACACUGGGACUGAGACACGGCCCAGACUCCUACGGGAGGCAGCAGUGAGGGAUAUUGCGCAAUGGGGGAAACCCUGACGCAGCGACGCCGCGUGGGUGAUGAAGGCCUUCGGGUCGUAAAACCCUUUUGCCACUGACGAGCAAGGACGGUAGGUGGCGAAUAAGCCUCGGCUAACUACGUGCCAGCAGCCGCGGUAAAACGUAGGAGGCGAGCGUUAUCCGGAGUUACUGGGCGUAAAGCGCGCGCAGGCGGUUCGUUAAGUCGGGCGUGAAAGCCCCAUGCUAAACGUGGGGAGGACGAACGAUACUGGCGAACUAGAGUAGAGCAGAGGGACAUGGAAUUCCGGGUGUAGCGGUGAAAUGUGCAGAUAUCCGGAGGAACACCAGAGGUGAAAACGGUGUCCUGGGCUCAUACUGACGCUGAGGUGCGAAAGCGUGGGGAGCGAACGGGAUUAGAGACCCCGGUAGUCCACGCUGUAAACGAUGCCAACUGGAUGCUUGUGUCCCGAAAGGGAUGUGGGUGUCGGAGCUAACGCGGUAAGUUGGCCGCCUGGGGAGUACGGUCGCAAGGCUAAAACUCAAAGGAAUUGACGG